rnacentral:lncRNA from 1 species
UUUUUUUGUAUUAUAUAACUUAAAUCCAAUUUUGGAUCUAAACAUAAUGAUUUUAAGUUUUUUAACAACAAUUUUCAAUUUGUGAUCUAAUAGCAGGUUUGGAUGGAGCUUGUGUUCUGGAAGACACAGUUUUGAUGCUUUUAAUAUCCUGCUGUUGUUAAAUAGAAUUUGAAUGGGUGAAAAAUGAAAUGUGGACAAAAACAUAUUGGAUUCUCAAAACACGAAAUAUAGAUAUUGGUACAUAAAAUUUGAAAUUAAGGCAGAUUCUGGAAAACUGACUCCUAACAGUAAAUCAAAAGGGAUUUCUUGUUGCUAUUUGGAAAGCAUUUUCAUAAAAUUAGAAUGAAGAAUACAGCAAAUUUAACCACUAGGAAAACACUUUCUUCACUUGCCUUCCAUGACAUUCUACUCUCUUGAUUUUCUCUUCUCCUUCUCCUUUGCUGGGUCCUCCUUUUCUUUCCAUCUCUUCAUGCAGGACUCCUCCAGGGUUCAGUCCUUGAUCUUCUUUUUUCAGUUUUCUAUCUACACUCAUUCUAAUGGUUUGAAAUACUACCUAUGUGCCAAUUACUUCCAAAGUUUGAUCUUUAGCCCACACCUCUCUGUCCUGCUGCAGAAUCAUACAUCCCAACUGACUAGUUGACACCACCAAUCAGAUCACUAAAAAGUAUCUCAAACUUAACAUUUCCAAAACUGAAAUCUUGAUCUUACCUCUCAGAUUUGUUCCAUCUGAACUUUCCCGCAUUUCACCUGAUGGUAACUCCAUCCUUUGAAUCACUCAGGUCGAAAGUCUUGGAGUCAUCCUUGACUCUUUCAUGUCCUCCCUUCAGUUCCAUCAGUAACUUUACCUUCCAGAGGAAUCACUUCUCAACCACCUACACAAGACUUACCCUGGUUCAGGCCACUAUCAUUUCUUCCCUUCUUCCACACACCCUGCCCCUGCAUAGGCUCUUCUCAAAAGAAGAUUCUGAAUGACGCUUUUACUUUAUUUUUAUUUAUUUUUUUGAGAGGGUCUCACCCUCUCACCCAGGCUCCGUCUCAAAAAGAUGAAUGUCUCUUCAUCUUCUUUUAUCCUGUUCUAUUUUUUUUCCAUACCAUGUCUUACUCUGUAGCUCACCAUAAUUUAUUUGUAUGCUCAUUUUAGGUUUCCCUCAAGUAAAACGUAAACUAAUCCAGGCACGGUUUUUGUUGUUGUUCCAUUAUUUUGAGGGCUGGGCACAUAGAUGCGCAAGGAGUGCCCAAACUCAUCAUCUCACUCUUUAUACAGCUGGGCAAACUGCCUAAAGUUUCCUCAAGCCUCAGCUUUACUAUUUUCUUGAAU